rnacentral:lncRNA from 10 species
CGACAAAGAGUGGAGCUGAAUAAGAAAGCAUAUCUAAAGUUCCUCAGGUCUUAUGAAUGCUGAGCUUCUAUCAGAACAUGUGUCAGCUGCAGCCUGCCAGGGAGCAUACCAGGCUGAGGGGCAAAAAUGCAAUGGCUACUCCCUAAAUGUAGGAUGGAAAGGAAAAUGUACAUACCUUUGCUGGUUCAAAGAUUUACAAAUCAUCGCCAAAUGGCUCCAGAAUUGCUACCGCAGGAAAGGAGGUUCACCAUGAGCAACACGUCAUCUCUGAAAACACCUGGCCUUGAAGUUGAAUCAGAGGAUUAGAUUCAAGAUGUGGCAAAUCUUAUGGAUGACUGUGGAAUGAUGGGGGCACAAGUCUAAAUACUGCAUCCUGCUCUGUCAUAUCCUAGAUCUGCUAUUGUUUUUCUCUUCACUUCUUAUGUUAUUCAUAGAGAGUUGUAAGUAAGUAAAUUGACAUACCAGACCCCUACUGUGUGCCAGGAGUACAAGAAUGGCAGUGGUACAGAUGAGGUCUCUGCCCUCAUAGAACUUUCAAUGAAAAACAUGGUCCACUGAAUAGGGAAUCAAGAUACAGGUGAUGGGGAAAGUACAAGGAGCAGAGGAGUUCCUAGGGUGGUCAGGAGGGAGGAUAGGUAACGUUCUCUGUGUGCUCUCUUCUGUACACAUACAUCACAUUAGUAGCAAUACCCCAAAUCUCAAUACUUUCAGACUUCAUAUUCUGGCUUUUGGGAAUAUCAAGCGCUUUCUUCCCCAGUGAUUCUAUCUAGGAAAUACUGAUGGUGAGAGUGGGGAGGUGGGAAAGUUGCCCUCACAUAUAAGUGAAGAUAUAGCCUGAACACUUUUUUAAUUGGUUCACUAAUUUUCCACCCUCUCUUCCUGUUCCUCUGCUAUUCAUUGGUUCCUUCUUGUUCCAGUGGCCAAUACCACUGCUAAUUUCUUCCAAACUGCUAACCUCCAUGCCACCCAUUGAUAAUAUGACCUCUGAAUGCAAGGCAUAGCAUGAAAUGAUCUGAGUCAUUAAUAUAUUUGUGUGAAUUAAUGACUCAGCUCUUUUCUAGCUGAGAGGAAAGACAAUAUGAGGCAAGGGGGACUUAAAGGGGCCAACGAGUAUUUUGUUUCCAUGUAGGACAGAGGAAGACAGGCAGAUAAAGUAUCCUUGGUAUCUGAAACUAACCAGGUUGCCCUGAGCCUGAAAGUAUAUUUCUCACUGUCUCUAUCAUAGGACCUACCUCAUGUUCCCCUGAUGGAAGAUGACAGACAAUGUGAACCAGAGAUGUGUCCAGUCAUUUGUCUAGGCAAGGCCUGAAAUGUGUUAGAAAGUCCAGCCAAUAUCAGCAAAAACACAGCUGGCUCAAGCUGACCACAGUCACAUGAUAGAACCCAUCUGAGACCAAAGAAACCACUCAGCUAAGCCUAGUUUAAGUUGCUAACCUGCAGAAUCAUGAGCUAAAUAAACAGCC